UCGAACGAGGACUAGAGUGCUUGCACUCUAUAGCCGAGUGGCGAAUUUUUGAGUAACACGUGACCAACCUGUCUUCGGGUGGGGGACUUCCUGGGGAAACCCGGGCUAAUACCGCAUAACGUCUUUUUCUCACAUGGGAGUAAGACCAAAGGGGGCCUCUGCUUGCAAGCUCUCGCCUGAUGAGGGGGUCGCGGCGUAUCAGCUAGUUGGUGAGGUAACGGCUCACCAAGGCGACGACGCGUAGCGGGUCUGAGAGGACGAUCCGUCGCAUUGGGACUGAGAUACGGCCCAGACUCCUACGGGAGGCAGCAGUAGGGAAUAUUGCGCAAUGGCCGCAAGGCUGACGCAGCGACGCCGCGUGUGGGAGGAAGCCUUUCGGGGUGUAAACCACUGUCAGGGGGGAAGAAUCCCGGGUGCCUGAAUAAGGCAUUCGAAUGACGGUACCUCCAGAGGAAGCGCCGGCUAACUCCGUGCCAGCAGCCGCGGUAAGACGGAGGGCGCAAGCGUUGUUCGGAAU
rnacentral:rRNA from 1 species